GUAGGCUGGACGGGAAGAACCUACAGAUGACAAUGAAUGUAAAUUAACUUUAAGGGUAAGCAUUGUGCUGGUUGUAUCCGGAUCUUAAGAUGAUCUGGCUAGGACCUGUAACUAGAUGGAGACCACUAUAGUAACUUUUUGAACCAAAUGUUAAUGUCAUUCCGAAUUGUGAAGCAGCUUCUGGUUUCUCUGUAGCCUUAAGGAUUAAUUUAGCGAUCCUCAAGGAAUUAAACUUAGGGAAUUUGGGAAAUGUAGACUGCACAGGCAGUGUACUGGAAAAGGUGGAAUUUUUUUUUUUUUUUAAUGAGGGUGUCUGAAAAUUAAAAUCAAGCCGGAUAUCAUGGUAAAGUUGGACAGUAUUGGUCCUUCAUGUUUUGGCCAUAUUGUAUAAUGGAGCUUUUACCAAAGAUGUAGGAGAAGCAGGAGGCUAUACAAAAAUGAGCUGUAAGUAAAACAUUUAACCUAAAGCAGAUGAGAAAAGGUGCUAUGUUGUAGGCUCCUAUUGGUGCAGAGGGAUUUUUGAUUCAAGACGCAACUAAAGCCUAACGGCCUCAGUUUCACAUUAAUAGAAGCAUCUCUAGGAAUGAGGCGGACUCACUUAAGAACAUUUUAGUUGCUUUUACAGUUCCCAAAGCUCCACCGUAAAUGUAAUUCUUAGUGUUUUAAAUGAUUACAUUCUAAGGUACAUAAAUAUGGUUAUACAAAUAUCAAUGCUAUAGUAACAUCCUGAAACAAAAUAAGCACAAAGGUAUAAAUGCCUAAACUGGAGGAAACUUGAAACCCUCAUGUUGAUUCUUAAAUGUAGUGUUCUACUUGUGACAGACAGAUUGGUAGACAGCCAUUUUUUUGUGUCUUAAAAUAAUUGGGGGCAUAGUUAAAAUUUUAUACAAGUGAUUGCUGUUACUGAAUGUUGCAGGUGAGAUGGGUUAUUUUUAGCUUAUUUGAGAUAUCUGAAGAGGUGGGAGGGGGGGAGACAUAUUUGAAAUUUGAAAACCCUAAACCUUUUGGAAAGAAAUUGUAAUUUUCACUUACAUUUCUUUAAGACUUUAAGAGAUUUAUAAUUGAUGUAGUUAAGUCAAACCAUAACCAUUGGUGAUUAUGAAGCAAAAAUUAGAGCCUGCAGAAAAAGUUAUAAUGGAAGGAUUAAAAAAAAUCUAAAGAUUUUGUUUUAAUUGCAUCAAUUUCUGUAUUUGUGUGAAUUUAUAAACAUGCAGUAAGUUUUGAAUGAGGUAAAUCUUGUCUAAUAUAAGUAAAUGAGUCUGUAGACUGUGAUCCCCUCCCCCAGCUAAAAAAAGUGCAGUACUUGGAAAUUGUUCUUUAUGGUUGUAGUGUUGCUGAAGCACUAACAUGCAGAAAAUAAAGGAAUUACACAGUGCA
rnacentral:lncRNA from 1 species